AACGAACGCUGGCGGCAUGCCUAACACAUGCAAGUCGAACGAGACCUUCGGGUCUAGUGGCGCACGGGUGCGUAACGCGUGGGAACCUGCCCUUAGGUUCGGAAUAACUCCCCGAAAGGGGUGCUAAUACCGGAUAAUGUCUUCGGACCAAAGAUCUAUCGCCUUUGGAUGGGCCCGCGUUGGAUUAGCUAGUUGGUAGGGUAAAAGCCUACCAAGGCGACGAUCCAUAGCUGGUCUGAGAGGAUGAUCAGCCACACUGGGACUGAGACACGGCCCCGACUCCUACGGGAGGCAGCAGUGGGGAAUAUUGGACAACGGGCGAAAGCCUGAUCCAGCAAUGCCGCGUGAGUGAUGAAGGCCUUAGGGUUGUAAAGCUCUUUUACCCGGGAUGAUAAUGACAGUACCGGGAGAAUAAGCUCCGGCUAACUCCGUG
rnacentral:rRNA from 1 species